AACUGUUCUCAGGGCGGGGUGAAAUUCCCCACCGGCGGUAUCGGGCUUGCCCGGAGCCCGCGAGCGCUUUCAGGGCAACCUGGGAGGUCAGCAGAUCCGGUGCGAUGCCGGAGCCGACGGUAUAGUCCGGAUGGAAGAGAGCAUGC
rnacentral:ncRNA from 2 species